UACGUACCGGACAAACGUUAUUCGGAAUUACUGGGCUUAAAGAGUGCGUAGGCGGCUCUAAAGGUGAGGUGUGAAAUCCCACGGCUCAACCGUGGAAUUGCGCUUCAAACCGUAGAGCUAGAGGGAGACAGGGGUGAGUGGAACUGAUGGUGGAGCGGUGAAAUGCGUUGAUAUCAUCAGGAACACCAGUGGCGAAGGCGACUCACUGGGUCUCUUCUGACGCUGAGGCACGAAAGCUAGGGGAGCAAACGGG
rnacentral:rRNA from 1 species